rnacentral:rRNA from 1 species
UACGGAGGGUGCAAGCGUUAAUCGGAAUUACUGGGCGUAAAGCGCACGCAGGUGGCUGAGUCAGUCGAUUGUGAAAGCCCUGGGCUUAACCUGGGAAUUGCAGUCGAUACUACUCAGCUAGAGUAUGGGAGAGGGUAGUGGAAUUCCCGGUGUAGCGGUGAAAUGCGUAGAUAUCUGGAGGAACACCGGUGGCGAAGGCGGCAUCCUGGACCAACACUGACGCUGAGGCGCGAAAGCUAGGGGAGCAAACAGG